AGUCGAGCGAACAGAAGGGAGCUUGCUCCCGGAUGUUAGCGGCGGACGGGUGAGUAACACGUGGGUAACCUGCCUGUAAGACUGGGAUAACUCCGGGAAACCGGAGCUAAUACCGGAUAGUUCCUUGAACCGCAUGGUUCAAGGAUGAAAGACGGUUUCGGCUGUCACUUACAGAUGGACCCGCGGCGCAUUAGCUAGUUGGUGGGGUAAUGGCUCACCAAGGCGACGAUGCGUAGCCGACCUGAGAGGGUGAUCGGCCACACUGGGACUGAGACACGGCCCAGACUCCUACGGGAGGCAGCAGUAGGGAAUCUUCCGCAAUGGACGAAAGUCUGACGGAGCAACGCCGCGUGAGUGAUGAAGGUUUUCGGAUCGUAAAGCUCUGUUGUUAGGGAAGAACAAGUGCGAGAGUAACUGCUCGCACCUUGACGGUACCUAACCAGAAAGCCACGGCUAACUACGUGCCAGCAGCCGCGGUAAUACGUNAGGUGGCAAGCGUUGUCCGGAAUUAUUGGGCGUAAAGGGCUCGCAGGCGGUUUCUUAAGUCUGAUGUGAAAGCCCCCGGCUCAACCGGGGAGGGUCAUUGGAAACUGGGAAACUUGAGUGCAGAAGAGGAGAGUGGAAUUCCACGUGUAGCGGUGAAAUGCGUAGAGAUGUGGAGGAACACCAGUGGCGAAGGCGACUCUCUGGUCUGUAACUGACGCUGAGGAGCGAAAGCGUGGGGAGCGAACAGGAUUAGAUACCCUGGUAGUCCACGCCGUAAACGAUGAGUGCUAAGUGUUAGGGGGUUUCCGCCCCUUAGUGCUGCAGCUAACGCAUUAAGCACUCCGCCUGGGGAGUACGGUCGCAAGACUGAAACUCAAAGGAAUUGACGGGGGCCCGCACAAGCGGUGGAGCAUGUGGUUUAAUUCNGAAGCAACGCGAAGAACCUUACCAGGUCUUGACAUCCUCUGACAACCCUAGAGAUAGGGCUUUCCCUUCGGGGACAGAGUGACAGGUGGUGCAUGGUUGUCGUCAGCUCGUGUCGUGAGAUGUUGGGUUAAGUCCCGCAACGAGCGCAACCCUUGAUCUUAGUUGCCAGCAUUUAGUUGGGCACUCUAAGGUGACUGCCGGUGACAAACCGGAGGAAGGUGGGGAUGACGUCAAAUCAUCAUGCCCCUUAUGACCUGGGCUACACACGUGCUACAAUGGACAGAACAAAGGGCUGCGAGACCGCAAGGUUUAGCCAAUCCCAUAAAUCUGUUCUCAGUUCGGAUCGCAGUCUGCAACUCGACUGCGUGAAGCUGGAAUCGCUAGUAAUCGCGGAUCAGCAUGCCGCGGUGAAUACGUUCCCGGGCCUUGUACACACCGCCCGUCACACCACGAGAGUUUGUAACACCCGAAGUCGGUGAGGUAACCUUAUGAGCCGCCG
rnacentral:rRNA from 1 species